AGAAUCAACGCUGGCGGCGUGCCUAACACAUGCAAGUCGCACGAGAAAGUGGAGCAAUCCACGAGUAAAGUGGCGCACGGGUGAGUAACACGUGAAUAAUCUACCUCCGAGUGGGGAAUAACUGAGAGAAAUCUUAGCUAAUACCGCAUAAUACCCACGGGUCAAAGCAGCAAUGCGCUUGGAGAGGAGUUCGCGGCCGAUUAGCUAGUUGGCGGGGUAAUGGCCCACCAAGGCGAUGAUCGGUAUCCGGCCUGAGAGGGCGCACGGACACACUGGAACUGAAACACGGUCCAGACUCCUACGGAGGCAGCAGUGGGGAAUUUUGCGCAAUGGGGGAAACCCUGACGCAGCAACGCCGCGUGGAGGAUGAAAUCCCUUGGGAUGUAAACUCCUUUCGAUAGGGAAGAUAAUGACGGUACCUAUAGAAGAAGCCCGGCUAACUUCGCGCCAGCAGCCGC
rnacentral:rRNA from 1 species